rnacentral:snRNA from 1 species
GGAUGGGAGGGUGACCUGGUUGUAACAUCUGUCACCCCAUUGAUAGUUAUGGCUGAUUCAGCUGAUCUGCCUGGCUAGGUGGGUUUCCCUUUCCUUCCUCACUGUUCCAUGUGCAUGCCUCCUGAAACUGGGCACUCAGUUGAAAAGUACAGCCAUUCCAGCUGGAAGAGAACCGUUUUUUGGUCAAGGAUAUACAAGUAGAUGCACUCCACUGCUAGAAUCUCCAUACAAGCUCUCAAGAUAGAAUCACGAAGAAAUAAAAAUUCUGAACAGACUUAUAUCUAGUAAGGAGAUUUAAUCAACAACCUUGUAACAAAGAAAAGUCCAGGAACAGAUGGCUUCACUGGAGAAUUC